UUUUUUUUUUUUUUUUUUUUUGCUUUUUAAGGCCUCACCCACUGCAUGUGGAGGUUCCCAGGCCAGGGGUCCAAUUGGAGCUGUAGUCGCCGGCCUACACCAGAGCCACAGCAACAUGAGAUCCAAGCCACGUCUGCAACCUAUACCAUAGCUCACGGUAACGAAGGAUCCUUAACCCACUGAGUGAGGCCGGGGAUUGAACCCGCAACCUCAUGGUUCCUAGUCGGAUUCAUUUCCACUGCGCCACAACAGCAACUCCAAGAUGCCUCUGAUUCUUGAAGUUCCACACUGAGAUACAUAAGACACGCAUUUGCUAAGCCCUCUGUCUUACAUGAGCCAGUCCCUGGCUCAGGACCUAUUAUUCAGGGAGCCACAGAAAUCUGGAGUGGGAGAAUUACUGCUGGUGUGUCUACAGGGGAAAGACAAAGGCAGAGGAGAGUAGGCAGAAAUUAGGACCAAGGAGAGCGUCACUGUUAGUGGCCACCUUUUUCUCACUGAUUAACGUGGCCAUGAUGGCAUCUGCAUGAAAAAGGUGCUAAACAUAUUUUAAGUUAAUGAUUCAAACAUAAAGGAGGAGUUCCCUAGCGGCUCAGUGGGUUAAGGACCCGGCAUUAUCACUGCUGUGGCUCAGGUUUGUUCCCUGGUCCAGGAAUUUCCACAGGCCAUGGGUGUAGCCAAACGAACAAACAAACAAAAAACUAUAAAGGAGUUGUCGUUGUUGUUGUUUUUCAAACCACUUGAGGGGUUCUCAUUGUGGUUCAGUGGGUUACAAACCUGCCCAGUAUCCAUGAGGAUGUGGGUUUGAUCUCUGGCCUUGCUCAGUGGGUUAAGGAUCCCACAGCGUUGCUGUGGCUGUGGUGUAGGCCUCAGAUGCAGCUCCAACAUGACCUCUAGCCUGUGAACUUCCAUAUGCCACAGGUGUGGCCCUUUAAAAAGUAAAGCUAUUUGAAUUGUACACUUUAUUUAUUUUUGGCUGUACCUGAGAUAUCCGGAAGUUCCCAGGCCAGACUAAACCCACCCCAUGGCAGCAGCCUGAGCCCCUGCAGGGACAACAUCAGAUCCUUAACCCACUGUGCCAAAAGAGAACGCCACUGUUGUUGUUGCUAUUUAAGCAAUUCUAGAUGGAAAUAAUCAAUAUUUGAAAAAUAUAUAUAUACUGAAAAGCCACGGAGAAAGGAAUUAACUUCAGCUACCAUAGCCAAAGUGCAUAGUAAGAGGCUCGGCUAUUUCAGCCACUGACUUUCAGAGCUUUCAGGCAGAUCUACAGUCCAUCAGCAAAACAGAACAGAUAUCUCUGCUCUUUUUGCCACUAGAACUGGCUACCUGAAGAGCUAAAGUGAUAGGUCUCAAUUUCUAAGAAGACACUAAGUUUUCAGAGGGGUCCAGAUAGAUAAGCUGGAUUCAUUUCAAAAUAUUUUGAUUAAAACUGUCUCCCUCAUUUUCACCACAGAAAAGUCACGAUAUUUUGUCUUCUGAUAGUUGACUACCUACAUAAAUGGGAAACACUCACACAAGUCACAUCAUAACUGCAGAUUUUAAGCGGCUAGUGAAAAGCAUCCACCAUCAAGUGUUUUUUCAUACUGAAAUCAGUAAAAAUCUGCCAGUCAAUUGGAAAAACAUCAUUAUCAACAACAAAAAUGUAAAUACUUCCCUUUAAAGUAUUAACCAUGUUUUCAUAUGCUUUUUAAAUUUUUUUUUUCUUUUUAGGGCUGCAUCUGUGGCAUAUGGAGGUUCCCAGGUGCAGCCCUAAAAAGACAGGAGAAAAAAAAAAAAAAGAGUCCCUUCUGGGAAACCAGACUUCAGAACAGUUAAGCCCUAAAUAUCAAAUGGACAAAAGGCUUCUUUGGCCAGCAAAAGAAUCAGUUUAUGAGCACAGACUACUCACAAAGGAAAAGAAUAAAUUCAGCAAAUACAAUAAAUUAUUCUAGCAGUUCACAAAAAUUCUAUUUACCCAACUACAAAGAACCAAAUUUACCCUUUGGGUAGAUAAUGUGCAAGGCACACUUCCUGUGCAAAAGGAAGGAAAUUGAAUAGUAAAUGCUAAAAACAGCAUUUCAUAGACUAGUAUAUGUUUACACAACUUAAUGUUUUAUUAUUAUUUAUUAACCAAGGCCAUUUAUGACAAUUCAAACUCAAGUUUUUCAGGAUGUUCAUAAAAUACAGUUUUUCACUCUGUCCAAGAAAGUUAAAUAACCUGAAAUGAGAUAACUAAGAACUUUCUCUAGAAAACUACAAUGAUCCUGAAAAUCACAUUUAGAAAAGAAGGCAAUACAAAGGAAUCCGCGUCAAAAACUGUACGUGGAAGUUCCCGUCAUGGCUCAGUGGUAAAGAACUGACUAGCAUCAUCCAUGAGGACGUGGGUUCGGUCCAUGGCCUGCCUCAGUGGGUUAAGGAUCCAGCGUUGCUGUGAUCUGUGGUGUAGGUCGCAGAUGUGGCUCGGAUCCCCUGUUGCUGUGGCUGUGGUGUAGGCCCACAGCUGCAGCUCUGACUCGACCCCUAGCCUGGGAACUCCCAUGUUGUGGGUGCGGCCCUAAAAAGACCAAAAAAAAAAAAAAAAAAAAACUGUACAUGUUAUGACCUGUGGAAGUGACACUAAAUGAGAAACACACAGAGGACAGAGGAGAAAUGAACAAAGAAUGGGUUUGCACGCCCACCAACAGAUCGUUCAAAAGGAUGCACUCCCUUGGCUGCUGGUCUGAGGUUUUACUUUGAUUCAAGACAAAAAAGUUGAAGUCACCAUGGUUCAUCCCCUCCUCACCCAGCCCAACUCAGCAAAUUAACCCUCAUCCACUCCUUUAUCUGAACCUGCACUGUGUGAGCAACUGGGAUGCUGAAAAAGCACAACCACAGAAUGUGAUCAAAACACAACUCCCCACUGCACGCCCCCCUCCCCCGCCCUUUCAAAGACCUGUCAAUGGGAGGGGGCCUUCCCUUGCUCCAGACGACAAGGGCCAGGUCCUUUCUGUUCCCUCUUAGGUUAACUCAGACUCACUCAAUCAUGAAAUAAUCUUACUUUGCAGGUUAAAUUUCCCAGUCCAUUUUUUUUCCCCCAGUGGCACCCAUGGCAUAUGGAAGUUCCUGGGCCAGGGAUCGAGUCUGAGCUGCAACUGUGACCUAUGCUCCUAUGGCAACACCAGAUCCUUAACCCACUGUGCCCAGAAUCGAACUGGCAACACCAAGAGAGACAAGACGGAUCCUUAACCCACUGCGCCAGAGGGGUAACUCCUCCAGUCCCUUUUAAUAAUCAACAUUCUAAAUCUGAUUGAGGGCUCCCUCCCCCCUUCUGAGAGACCAUCUUGGGAGCAGGUAGAUCAGGCUUUCCUCCUAGCAAAUAAGACCCGCUCCCACCGGCUUUGACAUCACAGGGAGUGAGUGUGGGCAGGUGACCCGCCACUUCCCAGGACUCUGACUUGAGGAAGACCCUGGAGCUGACAUAGAGAAGACUUUGCGUCUGUAACAAAGAAAGGAGAAUGGCUGAGGUUAAUCCCAGACACGGAGCCCUUUAGGCCAACAACUGAAACUACAGGCAUCCAAUGAGCCUAGCCCUUUGCACAGAUAAUUCGAAAAUAAGGAACUGGCUGUCAUGCAAGAAACCUGGGACCUGUAGGGGUAGCUGCCCGGAACAGAGUGGUGGGAAACAUUAUAUCGCAGCCAUAGCCGGCUAGCACUUGGUGGACAGGCCAGUGCAGGGUCCAGAUCAGCAGCAGGUGGCAUGCACAGCCCAGGUCCAAGGCACAAGGUAGCAGGUAGGCUGCAGGCACCCCCUGAGAUUCCAUUCCCCUAGCUGUUCACUCUGCACUGGCAUGUAGGAUAACAACGUGAUUUCUAACAUCACCUCUCCCAAAAGCCCUGUUGCAUGAGCUGGGCCAGCACCCAGACACUGAGGACUUAGGAUGGCCAAAGAUCAAGGGAGCUCGCCCCCUUGAUUACUUAGGGAUCAGCCCUCUGAUCCUGCCUCUCAAAGAAGACAAUGCUUUCCCUGCCUCUCUUGCAUUUAGGGUGAACCAUCACCUCUGGACCUCAGGCGGGAAAAAAUUAACUGGUGUUUAACUCACUGUAUUUGGAGGUAGCUUAGCCCAGACUCUACAGCACAAUAAAAUGAGAUUCUGUCUCCAGGACUGCAGACCCCACCCUCUCUGCACCAUCUGUGAACGUAACAUUCAUGUGUGUGUAUCAAUAGCGAUGCACAGCCAAGUUUCUCAGAGCUCCGUUAGCCCUGGUGUCUGGUUCUUCUCACCUCUCAGUCCUCCAUCGGACUCCUGCAUCCAUCACUCCCCUCACCGUGAUCCUCCCUGAUGUCACCCCUGAGCUUCUUUCCAAAGCCUGGCUGCCAGAUGCCUCAGGAGUCCAGGCAACAGAAAUCUACCAGCCUAAACUCCACCCCAUCAUCUUAAUUGUUGACUGUGUCAAGAUGAACAGCUUUAUUCUACUGCCCGCAGAAAAAAAUUGUCUUCUCUGGAGGAAGAUAACAACCUCCAAACACCCUAUGAUUUUCAUAUGAUGACAGGUCCUUAAUAAAAAAUUACAAAGCACAACAAGAAACAAAACAGGAGUUCCCAUCGUGGCUCAGCAGAAAUGAAUCUGACUAGAUUGAGGACACAGGUUUGAUUCCUGGCCUUGCUCAGGGGGUUAAGGAGCCAGCACUGCCGUGAGCUGUGGUGUGGGUUGCAGAUGGGACUUGGAUCCCACGUGCUGUGGCCGUGGCGUAGGCCAGCAGCUACAGUUCUGAUUCAACCCCUAGCCUGGGAACUUCCACAUGCUAUGGGUAUGGCCCUAAAAAGCAAAAAAAGAAACAAGAACAAAUGACCAAAAACUAAAGAGAAAGAAUAGAUAAUAUAUUAUACUCCAGAUGUAAUACCCAGGUGAUAUAAUUAUCAAAAAGUAAUGUUAAUAUAAUUAUAAUUGCUGUGUGUAAAAAUAUAGAUCAGGAGUUCCCGUUGUGGUGCAGUGGAAACGAAUCCAGCUAGAACCAUGAACGUUCAAUCCCUGGUCUCGCUCAGUGGGUUAAGGAUCCAGCAUUGCCAUGAGCUGUGGUGUAGGUCGCAGACGUGGCUAGGAUCUGGUGUAGUUGCAGCAACAACUCCAAUUAGAACCUCCACAUGCCGCAGGUGCGGCCCCGAAAAGACAAAAGACAAAAAAAAAAAAUAGAUUAAAGAUGAUGAAUUGUAUCAGAUAUCUGAAAUCUACGUAAAAGAAUCAAAUGGAACUAUAAUAAUUGAAAUAUAAAAUGCAAUAGACAGGUUUAACAGCAGAUUAGACACAGAAAAAAGAGGGAUUUUCUAAAGUAAAAGAGAUGUCAGGAGGAAAUAAAAAGCACCAAGAGAACAAAAGAACGAAUAUACAGAAAAGAGCUGAAGUGGCCUCUGAGAAUGGCUAUAAGAACUAAUAUACAUGUAACUGGAAUCCCAAAAGGAGAAAAGAGGAAAAAAACAAGAGCUGCAGAAAUAAUCACCAAGAGUUUUCCAAGACUGAUUAAAGAUAUCAAGCCACUGAUCCAAGAAGCUCUGUGAACAACAAUUAGGGGAACUACAUUGGGGUAAUAAUGUAGAUAUAAGGAGUUCCCAUUGUGGCUCAGUGGUAAUGAACCCAACUAGUAUCCGUGAGGAUAUGGGUCCGAUCCCUGGCCUCGCUCAGUGGGUUAAGGAUCCAGCAUUCCCACAAGCUGUGGUGUACGUCGCAGACACAGCUCAGAUCCUGCAUUUCUGUGGCUGUGGCAAAAGCCAGCAGCUACAGCUCUGAUUCAACCUUUAGCCUAGGAACUUCCCUAUGUCGAGGGUGCAGCCCUAAAAAAUAAAUAAUAAUAAUAAUGCAGGUAUAACUUACAUAUUUAGGCUUGACUUAAUACUUUCAGCUCAAUUAUGAAAUUCUGAUAUCCUCACUUACUUUGCUUUUAUGUGGAAUGAAGGAUAAAAAAAUCAGGUAAUACCCUCCUAUAAUUCCAAGGUUAAAUUUUUUUAUUAAUUUGGGGCAAAAUUCUGCAGGAUAUCAAUUGUGAUACAUAAAUUUUUAUUUCUGUUUCUUUUUUAGUUUUCAAACCUAUCACUUAUUCUACAAAGAGAAGAUUAUUACUGAAGCCUGACGCUUCUCUAACUCCUAAAAUGAAAAUACAUCAGUUACUGGGUAUCAACAGUAUACUUACAUUUAUAAUUUCACUUUCUAGGAACCCAAGGCCCAUGAAGUAGAGAAUAAAAUUGAGUUAUUAUUCUGAGGUGGUGAGAUUGAUCUCAACACAAAGGCUGCUACUGUUAGACAUUUAAGAAUGGUGAGAGAGGAGUUCCCAUCGUGGCUCAGUGGUAAUGAACCUGACUAGUACCCAUGAGGAUGUGGGUUCAAUCCCUGGCCUUGCUCAGUGGGUUAAGGAUCUGGCAUUGCCACGAGCUUCGGUGUAGGUCGCAGAUAUGGCAAGGAUACCACGUAGCUGUGGCCAUGGUGUAGGCAGGCAGCUGCAGCUCUGAUUCAACCCCUAGCCUGGGAACUUUCGCAUGCAGCAGGUGCAGCUCUAAAAAGCCAAAAAAAAAAAAAAAAAAAAAAAGAGCAGACUUUGGUUGCUGGGGUGGGGGAAGGGGGAGCAAAGGAUUCGGAGUCUGGGAUUAGCAAAUGCAAACCAUUAUAUAUAAGAUGGACAAAGAGUAAGGUCCUACUACAUAGCAUAGGGAAUUAUAUGCAAUACCCUGUGAUAAACUGUAAUGGGAUAGAAUAUGAAAAAGAAUAUAUAUGUGUAUAACUGUCACUCCGCUGUACAGCAGAAGUCAAUAUAACACUGUAAAUCAACUAUACUUCAAUGCAAUUUUUUUAAAAAAUAAAGAGUUCAAAAGAGGUUUACCUUUAAAAAAAAAUAGGGAGCUCAUCAUAAUUUCAAAGGCUUCAGAAAUGUCUUCUGAUUUUUCCAACCUACAAAGUCAUUCAUCUUAGUGAACAGGGAAAGAAAGCAGAUGCAAAAGCUCAGAUAAUUUUGUGAGACAAGGGGGUUUGGGGUGGGUGGAAUGGGUGAAGGGGGUCAACCGUGUGGUGACAGGACACUUGCCUUUUCAAGCCUCCUUUUUCUUCCCCAGCUUUUUCAGGACUCAUUUGAGUUAGACCC
rnacentral:lncRNA from 9 species